rnacentral:lncRNA from 1 species
CAGGCUUCAGCUUCACUCGCUUCUCAGGAGUUUGCGUCUGGUCUCAGGUGCCACCUAUUUAGAGUGGCCAGCAGCUGAUAGUGGUUUAUAAACAUACAGGUAGGUCCUGGCCAUCAUAGCGUCAGGGUCCGGGAAGCAAGCAGGGCGGCUCAUGGACGAGGAGAGCAGUUUGGGUGUGCAAGACAAGGUCUGGAUUCAAGUCCUGCUCAGUACUUACCAGCUCUGAAAUCAAAUGGGAGAAAACAUUGAAAAUGUUAAAUAACCGAAUGGAAAUUGCCGCAGUAAUUCCAACCUUCAGCAACCAACACUCUGAUCAGUCAGCAACCAUCCGCAUCAAAGCAAGACCCUCCACCAGCAAAGAUUACAACUUGCAGAAGGCUCAGAUGAUCAUUGGCAUUUUUAAACAAUUAAGAAAUUUUAAAUUAAGGGUGUCCUGGAAUUAAUAAAACUCGAGGAGUGGGGCUGCGGCUCCUCUGUGGACUAAGUGUGUGGUAUCACUGCUUAGGUCAACAAGUGCCUGUCAGGGCCGGAAAUGCCCGUGGAGCAGAGGGCCUUUGAGUCGCGGGGAAAGACACCGUGGGCUGCACCUGAAGCUGCAUGUUUGUCUGGGGUUACAUGAGUUUAACAGAAGGAUUUUUCUACCGGAAAAGAACGAAGACGCAAGCCUUGGUUACCCCAUUUCAGAGGAGAUUUUAAAGAGGGAUCUGGAAAACUGUUUUUUCCUUUUUUUCACUCAUCAUCAUGUUACACAGUUUCUAAAGACCUGAUCUCAACUUUCCUCUCAGCACAGGCUAUAAUUUUUUUUGCUAAGACGAUCCUUUUCUGUCAUUCUCUUGAAUGUUUCUCUUCCUGGGUGACUGGGAGAAUUCCUUCAAAAGGAUUUCUGAGACUGGUGUUUCCCAAACAACAGAGAACAUCGUACCCCUAGAAAUGGAGGACCAAGUGGCUUUUGUGAUAAGCAAGACCUCACCUGCACUUCGCAGACACUCCCAGCAGAGGAAAAAUACCAAACAGAAAGGGAAAGUGGUCAUGGAACAGAUUCUGCUACCAAGAAAUCAGGGAAUAAAUGGCCAGGGAUGAGUUUCAUAAGACCUGAAUUAUACAAUUCAGAGAACAAAAUUCAUAAAUUUAUCUAGUUGUUUCCUGACAAUUUCAUUCGAUCUGCCUAAGUUAGCUACCCCAUAGUUCACCUAGAAAUGUUUCCUAGUUCCCUUACCUAUUGGUGCAUAAAAGCUGCUUUCACAUGUCUCCAGUUUCCAACCUACAUAUCAGCCAGUGAUUUGCAUAAUCCUUAAACCCCCACCCCCAUUCCUUUUUUCAGCCACCUAAUGCAAACAAGAUCUGGCUCAGGCUUCCCUAAACUAAUCCACGGAACACCAUUUAGAAGGGAGACUAUUCCGUGUAAGUUGGCACGGCCGAAUGAGAUCUCUAUUGUAUAAGGGGCAGUCCCAGUAGAAAGACAUUAAUGAAUAUGCCAGUGGGGAGAGCCUCAGCUUCCCAGUUGCUUGCUGGACCCUAAAGCUGUAAGAACUCUGUGAAACUUGAAUGUUUCUUUUUUUAACCAAGGUAAGGAAUUUAAUGCCACUGCCCUGUCUGAAUCCUUACAGCUCAUCAAGACCCAAGUCAUAAACAACAACUUCAGGAAGAAUGAAGCCUAGCCUGAGCCUCCCUCCAAAUUCUCCUUUUCCCACUCACUGCUUCACACUUGAACUAACCAGUCUGUCCUCUAAACUCGAAUAUGCUUUUCUGGUAAUAUUUUAUGACCCCUACCUUGCCCAUAAAAAUGUAAGUUCUUUAGAGGCUGAGACUGUGUUUAAGCAUCUUUGCAAAACCCGCAGCUUGUUAGCACAAAUAAUAAAUGCUUCUUGAAUAAAUACAUAUGUUUUUAAAAAUAACUUGUUAUUUUAAAACAGUUAUUUAGUGCUGUUUUUCCCCAGUAUCUCCAGGUUUCAGCUCACUCUUUGUAUUCUCCCUCCAAAACCCCUCCCCUCUCACCUUUCAGAUCUGCUGAGACCAGCGCUACUGAACAGACACGAUGGAAAUGUUCCUUAUCUAUGUGGGCCCAUAUGCUAGCCUCUGACCUCAUGUAGUUAUUGAGCGCUUGAAAUGUGGAUAGUGGAACUCAUAACUGAUUUUUAAAUUUUAUUUUAUCUUCAUGUAUUUAAAACUUAACCUAGCCACAGGUAGCCACUAGGCUACUGUAUUGAAGAGCACAGGACCUUGACUCUUCUGAGAAGUCUUGCUGAAGAACCACUCUAGA